CCCUUAGAUGUCCUGGGCCGCACGCGCGCUACACUGAGUGUCUGAGAUACGAGUCUGCCUGGUCCGGCAAGGUCUAGGUAAUCGCUAAAAGACACAUCAUGCUUGGGAUAGAUUUUUGCAAAUAUUAAUCUUGAACGAGGAAUUCCUAGUAAGCGCAAGUCAACAGCUUGCGUUGAUUACGUCCCUGCCCUUUGUACACGCCGCCCGUCGCUACUACUGAUUGGAUGUUUAAGCGAGGUUCUCGAACUGCUAGCGACUUAGCUUCGGUGAGGUCGCAGUGUGGGAAGUGAACCUAGCUUUGGUGUCUAGAGGAAGUAAAAGUCGUAACA
rnacentral:rRNA from 1 species